CCAAAGGCUCUUUUCAGAGCCAACCACCUUUUCUGAAAAGAGUGCU
rfam:Camelus ferus unplaced genomic scaffold scaffold595, whole genome shotgun sequence.